rnacentral:rRNA from 1 species
UACGGAGGGGGCAAGCGUUAUUCGGAAUUAUUGGGCGUAAAGGGCGCGUAGGCGGCUAGAUGUGUCAAAGGUGAAAUCCCUCGGCUCAACUGAGGAACUGCCUUUGAAACUGCCUGGCUUGAGGCCGGGAGAGGGUAGCGGAAUUCCCAGUGUAGCGGUGAAAUGCGUAGAUAUUGGGAGGAACACCAGUGGCGAAGGCGGCUACCUGGACCGGUUCUGACGCUGAGGCGCGAAAGCUAGGGGAGCAAACAGG